UUAACCAUGGGAAAGUGAUAAAUUUCCAAAGUGCUUAUGUUUGGUUGACCAUCCACUUUCCUAGGAAAGUUAUGUAUAAUUUCUAUUAUGCCCUUAAUAAAAAUUAGGUCUUUAAUGCCUCUUUAAUGCUUCUUUAAUGCUGAAGGAUCUUUUUGGGGAAAAAUAAAAAAGGAGUGAUUCCCACCUCAUGGGAAAGUAAC
rnacentral:lncRNA from 1 species